AUUUGGUCAGCCAACCGUCUCACCUUCUCCCCCUGGCUUCAUGUUUGGGUCAACAGUGCCAUCUUCUGUUCCUUUAUUUGGUCAACCAACCUUCUCACCUUCUCCCUCUGACUUCAUACUUGGGUCAACAGUGCCAGCGCAACCUAAUUCCUUUCAAUUUGCUGGCCAGCAACAUCAAGUUGCUCCACAGAGCCCUUCUCCAUUUCAGGCAUCAGCUAGAACAGAAUUCAAUACGAGUGGGAGCUUCUCAUUGAGAAGUGGUGGUGGUGACAAGUUAGGGCGAAAAUAUGUGAAAGCUAAUGGAAGUAAGAACCAGAAGAAGUAAAGACGGUGAAUGGUAUAGCUGUUGUAUCCUUCAUUGAAUUUCCGCCCUUUUUUAAAGCAAAUAUUCUGUAGGCACAGUUUCAUCAAUUUUGUACCGUGUUAAAAAUUGCAAUGUACGAGGAGGCGACACUGGGUAACGGGAUUGUGUUAUUGAUGGCGCUUGUGUAUUUCUAUGUAACAUGAAGGAAUUGUUCAUAAAUCUUUCCAAGGAAGCAUGUUAAGUUCCAUUUCACUAUCUUAGCUGUUGUCUUCAUCAGCAGAUUAUCACCCUUGCAGCUUUUGUACAUACAAGUCUCCCAGUCGAUCCUCUUGUAUCUUUUAUUUGCAGGGAGAGCCUUUUGUGUUGUAAAUGUACUGUUUGUAGACCUUCUUGCUAUUGUUGUGCAGUGUUAAUCUAUAGGUUGUCCAGAUUUGUUGUCUUCUGUGUUUAGUUUUUGUUUAUGUCGGACUCAAAUUUUGUAGUGCUUUUCAGAUGAAUGCUGGAUAAGGAUGAUUAAUUAUUUUUGCUUUUUUAUUCCUAAGGGAUGUUUGUGAAUACAAGAAAUGCAGCACAAUCUUUUAGUAAUGAUCAUUUUGAGAAUAAAAAAAAUUGAAUGAAAGCAUGGAGCUUGGUUGAGCUUUAAAAAGUUAGCCCCUAUUUGGUAUAGCUUAAAAUCAAAAUUUUAAUUUGAGUUAAAUUCAACAAUUAAUCUUAAUCACAUAGUUUAUGCGAUCCACAAAUUUUCAAUCACAUAUUUCAUAAAUUUUUAUCAAAAUCUAUUAAGAAUCUAAUUUUAAUAUCUAUCUGAAAAGGGCUUAAUAUGUACUUUUUGGAUGCAUGGUAAAAUGACAUGGGUUAGUUGUGUGGCGCCAAUGAGCAAGAACUAUAGUUAAAAAGAAGGAUAAAGGAUGAAAUUAACAUUAUUCAAAAGUUUAAGGACUAAAUUAAUGAUAUUAAAAACUUGGAAGGGUGGAAUUAACAUUAUUAAAUAGUAUGAGGAUGAAAUUAACUAUAGAGAAAAGUUUAUGGAUGGAAUUAAUAUUAUUUAGAAGUUGAAGGAUGAAAUUGAAGAUAUUGAAAAUUUGAAGGUAGAUAUAACAUUAUUAGAUAGUUUGAGGAUGAAAUAAACAUCGCUAAAAUGUUGUUGGAUUAAAUUGAUAAUCUAGAAAAGUUGAAGGUUGAUCUUACAUUAUUAAAUCGUUUGAGGAUAAAGUUGAGGAUAUUGAAAUGUUAAAGGAUGAAAUUAACAUUAUUAAACAGUUGAAGGAUUAAAUUUACGAUCUAGAAAAGUAGAAGGUUGAUUUUACAUUAUUAAAUAGUUUGAGAAUGAAGUUGAGGAUAUUGAAAAGUUAAAGGAUUAAAUCACAUUAUUCAUAAGUUAAAGAAUGAGAUUGAGGAUAUUGAAAAGUUGAAGGAUGAAACUCACAUUGUAAGAAUUUGAAGGAUUAAAUUGCCGAUCUUGAAUUGUUGAAUGAUGGAUAUAAUGUUAUUAAAUAGUUUGAGGAUGAAAUUGAGGAUAUUGAAAAGUUAAAGGAUGAAAUUCACGUUAUUAAGAAGUCGAAGGAUUAAAUUGAUGAUAUAGAAGAGUUGAAGGACGGAUUGUACAUUAUUAAAUAGUUUGAGGAUGAAGAAAAAACGAGUAAUACAUAGAAGAAUUUUGAAUUAAUUGGUUCUCGAAUUAUUCAAAUAGAUAUAGUCCUUGUUUGAGUCCCAUUUUGGGAGAGAAAAUGAAUUUUUAAAUAGUUAUUGAUGAAAAAUAUGUAGUUAAAAAUUAAGAAAAAAUUUUGAAUUUACGUGUAAUAUUAUUUUAUUGAAAAAUAUGUAGUUGAAAUGAUAUUGAAAUACCGUUGAAAAAUGUAUUUUUUUAAAAUAAUGAGGCUCAAACAAAUACCUAAAGUAUGAUCUACAUAUUUGUGAUAAGGAUGGCAAUGGGUCGAGUCGAGUCGAGCCUGCUCGGCCCUUUAACUCACGAGCUCGGCUCGACUCACGAGUUCGGCUUGACUCACGAACCGCUCGCAAGCUUGUGAUUAUUAUUGUUGUUGUUAUUUUUUUUUUAUUUUUUUUGCAAAUUUGUACAUUUUUUACGAGCCCACGAGCUCGUGAACUUGGGCACGAGCCACUCGCGGGCUCGACAGAUUAAGCCCCAUGUUCAGCUCAGGCUCGGACUUGUUAUUUGACGAUCUUGAGCCACCCACGAGCUGAAUUUUAACGAGCCGCUCGACCUGUUUGACAUCCAUAUUUGUGAACAAGUCAAAAUUCGUUGAGAAAAUUUGUUUAUGCUCAACGGAUCACACUUCAUAAAAAAAAAAAAUUGUUUCGGUACUCCAACAAAAUUUGAGGAACGAUUUCACCAAAUUCAACAUUUUCUAACGUUGUCAAUAUAAAAGCAUGUUAGUGUCCUUGCGUUUGGAGAUCUUGUAUUGGAAAACAUUCAAUCUUGUAGUAUAAUUUUUAUAUCAAUUCGUUAGUUUGAUGAACGGGAAAAGAAAAAAAUUAAAACAAAAAAAACAACAACAAAAUGAAUCCAAUGACAGAGAUAAUGGUUAGUACUCUCUUUGAAUUAAAAUUUUACAAUUUAAUUAAACGGUGAAGAUUAGAGGGCAUACAAGGAAUUAACAUUUUUAUAUGUAUGCAAUAGAUAUCGAAAUUCCAUGUAAUGCCCCAAAAUUAUUAUUAUUAUUAUUAUUAUUAUUAUUAUUAUUAUUAUUAUUAUUAUUAUUUAUAAAAAUUGGAGUGUUAUAAAAAACUCAAUUUUCUUUUUAAUAAAUACGUAACAACACAAAUUUAAGAAAUUCUUUUUUUUUCAACCAUAACUAUCAAUUUAAACACGAGAUCUGAGUUUCUAAAAUUUAAAGACAAUCAAUGGACUAAUUAAACAAACGAGUAUUUGAACAAAUAAAACUAAUAAUUAAAUUUAGUAACAUGAAAAGAAACAAACUAAAUGUUUAAUAUCUUUUUCCUUUCAUCGAUUCACUUAGCAGUCCGCAUCACCAUUCCGCUACAAUUUCAAUCGACCCGAAUUAACAUCUAAAAAUUUGUAAGAGUGAGUAUUCGAAAACAUUCAGUAAGAUCGUGCAGUUUUCAUACACAAAUAUAUAACAAAUAAGAUCUAUACUUCAAACUACUCUGCUCUUAUGGAACAUAUUAGUAACCAAGUGACACACCCAUUUUAGAUCAUCUUAUUAUCUCGUAGGAUUUUAUCUCUCUUUUUAUAGAAUCCGAAGAUCCACUGACAAUUCAUAUAUAUUUAAUUGAAUAUAAAAAUAUAAGGAAACGAAAACACUUGCACAGAGGUAUCUUAUCUCAUUAAAUAAAAUGAACUAUCGAACAAAAUAUGAAUGCACGUGCCUAAAAUCUUUUCUAUACUUUAGUGAAUAAUGGUUGCAGAUUGACUUUUUGUCUUCUAAUUCCCAAAAGUAUCAUCUCUCCCUCUCACGUAUGUGUAUACAUUUUUUGUUGUGGUGAAAUAUGAGACUCUUGUAUAGUAUUUAUAGUAAUAAAAGUGUUUGAGUUAUUAUAGAAAACGUGUAUCACCUAUUGGAUAAAAUUAAGUUUGAGUAUUUGGAUUAUAUUUCACUGACAAAUUCAUAGUCAUCCAAAUAGAACACUUGGACAAUGCUAUCACAUCAAGCCUAUUGGAGUUUGAAUUGACUAAUUAUUUUAAUAAAAUAAGAUAGAAUAUAAUGGAAAAAAAUUGUAGUUGUCGCCACUCAAGCAUGGUACCAACUACCUAACUAAUUAACAAAUCUUAAUAAAGACAAUUUCUUUAAAUUUUAAUGUUUUUGGCGUAACUGAUUCAAAUUAACUUUUUCUCGAGCCAAAGAUUUCUAAUCAAUUAUGAUCUUCGAAAUGAGUCCAAUAUCAAUAUACCAAAUUUUGUUCUAUGAUCAUCUAAUUAUUAAAUCUAACUAAAAUGGAAAUUAAAAGUCCUAUUUCAUGUUAGUCCCCAACUUUUAAAGAUAUAACAAUUUGUUUUAUUAUUAUUAUUAUCAUCAUCAAGUGCUACAAUCCACAAAAGUAAAAUUACCUUGGGAGGUACAAUUAAGGGUGCAUUUGAUUGCGAUUACAGAAAGAAAAUAAAAUUUAGGCAAUUCAAUUGUCCAGAACUUAUUUGUAUGGAAAUUAUUAAUUAAAUGUGUUUGGUUAAUUUAGUUCUCAAUCUAGAAAAUAUUAUAACUGUCUAUUUUUUAUUGGUGGGUAGAUGAUAAAUAAUGGAUUAGAAAAUAAAAUCUUACUCCCCAUAAAAAAAUAUUUUCUUUGAUUUUGAGCAAAAUAUGGUCACGUGAUCAAAAGUAAAAAAAUAUUUUUCAUGGAAAAAUGUCAAUUAAACAGCACAAAAGUAAAAAAUUUGAGUAGAAAAAAAUAUAUUUUUCAUGAAAAAAGAUUGGCAAUUAAACGCACCCUGACAAUAACAACGAAUGUCAUUUUAGCAAAACAAUUACGAAUUUGACAAUUUGUUGGUAAAUUAUGCACAUUUUGUAGGACUUAUAAUUUAUUAUUACUUAUUAUCUAUACAUUUUGUAGUAUCCACAACUUAUAAGUAAUAACAAAUAAGCUAUAAGUUGUAUGACUCUUGGUGGAACAUAUGGUUAUACAUGUCGAUAAUUGUACUUGUAUUUUAGCAAUUUUUGUAGGGUUUAACAAAAGGGAAUGAAGAUUUGCCCUGUAAUUAAAGAGCAAGAAAAAGCUUUAGGUCUAUAUAUAAUACUAUUUUAUUGAGAAUUGUGUUAUUGAAGUAAAAAGAGAGAAAAAUGUAUUUUUAAAAUAAUGAAGAUCAAACAAGGGCUAGAUAUAGAGACCCAUCCCAUCGUUUUUUAAAAUUACAGAGUCAUUAUUGAGAUUUGUUUUCUAUAAUAUAAUUAUGAAUUUUAAAAUUCUUUACAAAUAAUGUAUGCUAAGGUUGUGAAUUCAUAAAAGAAAUGGUUAAAAUUGAAAGUUGACACUUGAUCGAUUGAAAAGCUAGUAAAAUUUAGGGAUAAUUGUAGCAGAGGUCCCAAAUGUUUUAAAGAGUUGUAGACUUUUUUAUAACAUUUCAUUCGCCGCAGUCGUCAUUUCCAACCUUUUGAAAUAUUGCGGUUGAAGCCGCAAUAGACGGAUUUCAUCCAAAUGUCUAUUAGUUUACUAAGAAAUUGAGUUUGAUCGCCUUUUUUAAUAAAUGAUAAAAUAGUAACUUUCCAUUUAAUAAGAUAAGUUGAAAAUAAAAUAAGAAAAAGAAAAUAAUAAUAAUAAUAAUAAAAACUGUAGAUCUUCUUCAACGGUUCAACCUCCUCUAAACCCCAGUGUUACCCGAAAACUUAUCCAUCUAUAUUUCCGUGAUCCCGUCGAUCACGCAAAAACCACCGCCUAACAAUUUGCAGUUGCUCUGGCUUUCUCAUCUCAACCACUUUCACCCCCAGCCUUCUCAACACGACACCAGCCACACAAACACACAAUUGACCAUUUUGUCCCUACUCGUUAUCGUUGAAGUGCAAUGCUUAAUUCAAGGGAUUAUACUAGAAUUUUUCGAUCUUGCACUGGGCGCUCUUAUUGAACCGCCGGAUGAAUGUCUUCCAUUUAGGCCCAGGCACUACCUCCAACCAUUUUCUGGCUUUCUUUAAUGCUUUUAUUCCCCCAUCGCACUGAUCGCCAUUGAUAAUCUUCUGUUGUUUCUUCAAUGUCGAAAUCUACCCCAAAUAUCGGAACCUAAAAUUCCAAAAGCGAUAGCAGGCACGGCUGGAGGAUGCUCGUUCCUGUAUAUCAUCGUUUAAGUCCGUUUCUUUAUGUCAAAAAUUUGGGGUGGUUUGGUUUCGAUUUUGAGGAUUUUGGGGUUGGAGUUGGGUUGGGUGUGGCGUAGGUGAAGAAAACUAUAGAUGAUUAUUUUAUUUACUUUAUUAGUUUUUAAAAGAUAAUAUUAUAAAUAUAAAACUAUCAUUAUUCCCUUUUCAAAAUUAUAAAAAAAAAUUGGUCAAACUCAAUUUUUUGGCCAACUAACGAAUAUUUGGAUAGAAUCGUCCAUUGUGGCUUCAAUUGAAACAUUUUCGAAAAGUGAGGAGUGACGAUUGCAAUAAAUGAAAAGUUAUGAAAAUGUCUGCAAUUAUUUGAAAAGUUUAGGGCCUCUACUGCAAUUAUCAGUAAAAUUUAAGGAAAAAAAAAAAAAAAAGGUUGAACCCCAACCUUAAGGGCCCCCACCGACCCUGCCCUAAGCCAUCGUGGAGGAGGUAAAUUGCAGGAUGUGCCUCCCAGGAGUCAGGGUGGAGAGCACGUGGAUAGGCCAAUGCUGUUAACCCAUAUGGUAACUCCCGCUUGCAACAAAGUCAAUUCCACCUUGCGGGGAAUCGAACUCUGCACACUGCCGCGCUGAGCCCUAUCCGUCCUCCCCUUUGCCACUGGGAGAUAUGCCCGUAAAAUUUAAGAAAAUGUUUUACCCGGCAAGGACUUAGUAUGGAACACAAGGAGGUUAAAGAUUAUAACUCUCAUCAAAAUGUUCUAUAAUUAUUUUCCCAAAAAUAAUUUGGUAUUAUACAUUCAAGUGUUUUUUUUUUUUUUUUUUUUUAACCUUCCAUAUAAAGUUCUAGAAAUCUCUAUAUAAAUAUGUUUGAUGUAGAUUUUUGAGAAUUUUUUUUUUGUGAAAAGUGCUUUUAAUGUAUAGUUAAAAAAUAAUAAUGAAUCAAUGUGAAUAAUUAUUUUAUUUGGAGAAUUUGUAAUUGAAAAAGAUUAUAAAAAGAAUUCUAAAAAAAUCCUUACCAAACAUGGGCUAUUGACGAGCGUGUUUUUAUUCACGAGUUUUACACAAUUUUAAUUUGAUUAUUUGCUAGAUCUUAAGAUUAUAGAACUUUUUUUAUAUGUUUGAUGUGGGACAUGUUCGGGAAAAGGUACUAGUAGAGGGAAAACAUCCUAAUUUCGGAUUGGCCCAUAAGAUCAUUUUGAAAAGAGGACGACGAGAUAAACAAUACUCACAGCUUUGCUAUGCUGUUCGAUGAAUUUCAGCCAUUUGAGUUCGUUUGAGACUUGAAAAUUGAUUUUUAAAAUUUUGGCAUUAUUUUUGUUAUAUCAAUUAUUUUGGUUUUUUUUUUUCCAAUUUUAAUUUGUUUAAAUUUUGUUUCCAUUAAUCUACCAAAAUUCUUGUUUUUUUGCUUGAAUUCCUUGUUUUGUGCUGCGUCAAUGUUUGUUAGUGUUGUUUUGAAUGUUAAGCAGGGUGGAGUAAAAAGAAGUACUAAACUGAACAAAGAAACUAAAAUCAACGAAUUUAGAGCAACAAGUCAGCACCCAAACACUGGAUACCAAGAACUGCAAUUCGCAAAAAAAAAGCAGUUUUGGACGAAAAUGUAGCGCCCAGGCACUGCACUCAUAGCUCUUAGCACUGUCCCUAGCGCUUAGGCAUCGCAUUUAUAGCGCCUAGGCGCUGCCUAGACUAAAGUCACACUUAGGCGCUACAUUACAGCACUUAGGCAACGCGCGUCUAUUUUAUGAUUACACGAUUUUGGCCUGUAAAAAGUCCAUGAAGACUCCAAUUUUGGGAAGAACGUGAAGGGGAGUAUAAAAUAGAGAAAUUGAGUGUUUCAAAAAGAGAUUCCGCAUAUUGAGAGACACAAUAUACAACGUGAAAUUUAGAGAAAAAGUCGAAAGAAAGGAAAUAAGAAUUCAAGAUCUAGGUUUUGAAUUCAAGAUUGGAGGCAAGAAGAGAACUUGGUGCAAGAUUUAUCCUCUUUCUACAUCUAAAUUCUAACACAUGGUAAUGUACUUCAUGAAAAUUUUUAGUUUUUCUUCCAUUAUCAAGAGUAGUUAAAUUUAAUAUUAAGGCAAACAAUGUAAUCUUUUGAGACCCUUUAUUUCUUUCAUUCAAUAUUCAAGUUGUUUAAAUGAAUGUGUUGGUUUUAAUUAUGUACUUAAUGCUUUGAAUUUUUAGCCAUUCAUUUAGCUCCCGUUUGGUCCUCAUUAAUUUCUAUUACAUUACAUUUUAUUAUUUCUCUCCUAUUUUCAACCACGCAAUCUUUUAUAAAAUAAUAUUACACGUAAAUAAAAAAAUUUUCAUUUUUUUUCAACUACUCAUUUAAAAAAAAAAAAAAUACUAUUCCAUCAAUUUUCAACUCUACAAUGGGGGCCAAAUGGGUGCUUAAUGAUUUCGUGAGUCUAUUACGAAUCGAGAUAUGGGUUUUAGAUUGAGACUACAUAUUAAAAUUCGAUAAAUUAAUAGAGAUACUUAUAUUAAUUACAAAGGUCUUAGAUCAAUUCUUAGAAAUGAUAUUUCAUUUAACUAAGCUUGAUUCGCAUCGAGAUAUGGAGUUGAAUCAGUUAAAUAGGCUUAAUGAAAAUUCAAUAGAGGUAAAUUGGAUAUAAUAGAAGAAUCCGAUCAAAAACUACAUGAGGUGUGAAUCUUGAAUUACAAUUUAAAGGUGACCACUAGAUGAAAUUAUUACGCUUUAAUAUUCAUCCCAUAUUUGAAUCUUCAACCUAUCUUUUUGUGCAGUUUUGAUAUUUUCAAGUAUUUACAAAAAAAUAAUAAUUAAAACUGUUUUGUUUAUAUUUGUUAAAUAAUAUUUAGAGAUAUUAAAAUUAGGCAUUAAAGUAUAGCUCUUGUGGGAACAAUAAUUCGCACUCAAAGGUCCAUUAUAUUAUUUGUUCGAUAUUGUAUACUUGCUAUAGAAAAAACGCAAUAGCUAUAUCUUUUACAAUGAGACAAUGUAUUUAUAUAUCUAAUAUUAAUAAGUUCAUCUUUUCCUUUUUAGUCCCCAUUUCAAAAGAAUUCAAGAACAAUUUAAUUUAUAAAUAGAUAAAAAUGAAUAAUACUUGCAAAAUAAUUAAACAUGUUGCUGAAAUGAAGUUGGAUCAAUUUACAAAUUAUUUAUAAAUUUGUCAAUGUAAGGCUCAGGGAAUUUCCAACCAUACAUCAAAUCUCUCCACCAAUUUGGCGUAACACUUCAUUUAGUGUGAUUUUAGAGUGUUCAUAAUUUUUAUUUUGUCAAUCAUUUUAUAUUACAACACAUUUUAAUUCCUAUUAUGUUACUUUUAUUAUUUAGUGAUUUAACUUUAUUUUAAUUUAAUUAUUAUUUUCAAAUAACAUUUGAUUAUUUAUUUUAACUUUAUUAUUUUUAACUGUGAUAUUAAGGCCUUAUUUGUCUAUUAUUCUACUUCAUUUUACUACAUUAUUUUUUCUACAGUACUCAUUUUCAACCACACGUUCUUCAUUAAAAUAAUAUUACACAUAAUAAAAAAAUUUCUUUUUUUUCACAACACAUUUCAACAUCAAUCAUUAUUCUAUAAUACAUUAUUCACAAAUAAUGGGGUACAAACAAGCACUACGUUUAAUGUUUUUAGUAUAUCAAUAAACAAAAAUAUAUUUAUUUAAUUAAAUAUAAAUUUAAUACUAAUAUAAUUUUUAAUCAAAUAUUCAUUAAAAAUAAAUUAAUUAUUGAAAAUUAAAAUAAGAAAAUAUUGAUCAUUUUACGUAAUGAUUGAAGAUAUUUUUGUAAAAUCUAUAAUAAUAAAAAUAUAUUAAGGGCCGUUUAAGCCACAUUAUUCCAAAAAAAUGUAUUCUUAAACAGUGUUUUGACAUCAUUUCAACCACACAUUCUUCAAUAAAAUAAUAUUACAAGCAAAUAAAAAAAUUUCUUAUUUUUUAACCACGUAUUUCUCAUCAAUACACUAUUCAAAAAUGUAUUUUUUAUGAAAAUAAUGUGGCUCAAACAAGGGCAAAGUCAAUGGAUUAGUUUAGCCAUGGAUAUCUAAAAUGGUUAAAUAAUGGUUUAGUGGGGUCUUCUCUAGUUAAUAAUUGAUCAAAGGAAAAGUACUAAAGAAGCAGAACCAUUACCACAUUUUCUAAUACUUCUUGUUUCUUGCCUUUUUUCAAUAAGUGAUUGCUUCUAAAAGUAGGACAAGAAAUUAUUAUUAUUAUUAUUAUUUUUUAAAAUUAGGAGGAUAUAAGCCAAGGCUUUAGGAAACAAAUUGAAACUUCAUGUUCGAAAAUCGUAGUCGAUAUAAUAACAAAUCGAAACUUCAUGUUCGAAAAUCGUAGUCGAUAUAAUUGAACAAUAAAUGUUUACUUUUUAUUUUUUAAUACUGUUCAAUACUAUAGAGUUUAGUUUAAGAAGCUUUUAAAUGCACUAAAGUUCCAAUAGCGGAGGUCUGGGCAGAUGGCAUAACAAAAGGUGAUUUUGAGAUGCAGUACCACGCCACCCCACGCUGGCCCCCAAUCCCUACUCCUAAUCCUAUCAUUACUGGCUAAAGGAAAGUAGGUUAGACUUUUACAUUAUUAAAUAUUAUUAAAACGAAAGAAGUUAAAAUUUUAUUUAUCGAAAAAAGGUUUAACUACAAACAAUUUUUUAUAUGAGUAGAUUGCUUGAAAGGAAGAAUAAUUGAAGAUUGAGAUUCGAUAUUUAGAGAAUAUAUUUCCCAUAUAUCGUAAAUUCUAUAAUAAAAAGCAAUGACCAAUAAUAAUUAACAUAACCCUAAUAUUCGACUUCUCUUUCUCUCUGUCUUCCUGCAUUUUCCCUCUCUAAAUUUCAUACUCUAUACAAGACUUCAAUUUCAAAUGGCGACGGCGGGCGAAGGAGGAGUCACAACCAACACAGACGGCAUCGCUUCCUCUUACGAUGGUGGGGGAGGAGAAGGGGUGGGAGGAAGGUCCCGCAGGAGGCCGUUCCGUAGAGCCCAUCAUACGACGCCGUACGAUCGCCCUCUCACUGCUUUCCGAGGAAUUACCACCGCAGCGAUCAACAAUAUCAACUCUAGCUGGUUGAAUAAGCUCGUGGUGGACCCGGCCUCCAAGCUCAUCUCUUAUGGGGCUCACCGCUUCUUUGCCUCCGUUCUUCGCAAACGUCUCCCACCUCCUCCCCAACUAACAGGUAUACGUUCCAGUUUAAUUUUUUUCUCCAGAAAAUGGUUUUCUUAUUUGGUCUCGCAAUUUGGUAUAUUAGUUUCGUUUUAUUCAAUUUCGUGUGAAAAUUUUGAUUCGAGGUUUAAUUUUUUAUACAUUUUGAUUUCUUGCUCCUAUAUUUGCAUGUGUUUUGUGGAGUCAUUCAGAUUGGAUUUUUACUCUUGGUCCGAUGGUGAAUUGGUAGGCUUUGAGUAAUAUUGGUGAAUGAUUUUUUGCUUUGAACCCUGUAGCCAACAUAUAAGUUUCGAGUAUCUGAAUUAAUUUGUUAUUUGUUUAUUUACACGAAAUGAAUAUUUCUUUUUUAGUUUAAGGUUAAUACAAUGUAGUAUUCAUUAUAUUUAUGUGAGUGUCUACUGACUAGAGCUCAGUGUUAAUUAGGGAAAAUGAAGAAGUUCUAAUUUCUGAAGGAUUUUAGUUUUUAGAAAUUUAGGUUAAAAUCAAUUUACCAAUGAAAAAUGAAUUAGCCUUUACAAUUCCAGCACACCGUUUUCUCUGUCCUUUUAUCACUUCUUAAGUGAUUCAUAUUGCACAAUCUUAUAGAUCUGUCAAUUCGAAGUUCAAUUGCUUAAUCUUGCGUGCUUUGCGAAGAAAUGACUUUAUAUUUAUUUCUGCACUUGUGUAUGGCAAUGCUGCUUUUGUCAUUUAAGCUAUGUUUCACAUUCUUAUGAUCUUUGCAAUAGCUGCCACCAUAUAUUUCUAUUUCAUACAUCAUCACCGUCACCAUCAUCAUUAUUUUUAUUAUUAUUGUAUCGAACUAGGUGCAGUUUUUUCACAAUAAAGACGUGUCUAUUUUGAAGGAGUCGUGAUUCAAUAAUGCAAUUUCUAUUUCUUUCCAUCGGCAAGCACAUUCACGGUGACUGUCUGAUGCGACUUCUCUUCCUAGGUGGUGGCUUAUCAUUUCUUUUUAUGAUCUAAAAGAAGAUAAUUAAGACAUGGGCUAUUUAUGGGAUACAUACCUCAGGAGGUGUGAAGUUUAUUACUCUGUCUGAGUGAGACCUAAUUGAUUUUAUUAUCCGUUACAGAGGCAAAUGAUGAAUCGAGCGACGGGCUUCAGGAGGCGAUUCCUAAUGUAAGUGUUAUUAUACAUGUUUACUUGUCCUGAAAGUUGUAUUUCUUUUGGCUUUUACGCUCUUCUAUUUCCAUUCUCAAAAUAUUAAUUUAUAUAGAUUGCUAAAAUUUUUAACUCAGUAUCGUAGUUGAGCUUAUUUAUACGUUGGUCACACCUGCGCUGAUACGGACCAUCUACAUUCUGUCUUUUUUAAAAUGGAUAGAAAAGUAAUAAAAAAAUUUGGGAGUUGGAUUUGGAGAAGAUGGCUCCUUCACUAGAUUGUUUGUUUAGAAAGUUGACCUUGCUAUAUAGGCCUGCGACCUGAUUAUUGGAUCUACUAAUUUUGGUUAUUUUAGAAUUCUUGAUUAAGCUGUCUUGCCUAACUGAUGGGAAAUGGUGAAUUGGGGUUUAUUUGAGAUCUGAAAGUAAUAUGUUAUUAAAAGAUGUUCCGUAAUGUUAUCACAAACAUGCAAGACAUUGGACAACAACAAAAAAUAUAAAAGAAAGAGUGAAAUGACUGAAGUCACACUUUGCAAUUUGAAACAUUGCAACUUCAAUCUGUAUGUGGAUCUGAGUGUGGGGUUCGGAGUAUCAUACUUAACUUAUAGGAGGCUAUCACACAAAUGAUUCUUUAUCUGUUCUCUUCUCUAGUCUUAGAAUCUUCUCUUUCUAGUUCACUGGUGAGUUUUGUUUACAACAACUCGAAAAACCCUUCAAAUCUCUCUGGAAUAUGAAGCCCAAAAAGCGAAGGCAAAAAAUUCCAGAAUUGGAAAGAGUAAAAAGCAUCUCAUACCUCAGGUGGGCCAAAGUUUGUGCACUGAGAUGUGCACCUCAGCAAGUCUAGGCAUAAAACUUAGCAAUUGAACUAAAAGAGUAAACUUUGAGGUUCUUAAUGAGCUUUGCAUAAUUUUGGAGCGCUUUUAAAAAAAAAAAUGGAGCGUCACUUGUUAUUUAAAUGUUAUUUACUUAUAAGUAGUUUAUCCUCAGAUGAGGAUUCGAAAUAUGUUCAAUCUUUACAUAGAGAAGUUGUCAACUUUAGAAGAAUGCAAAUAUAAUAAGAUAAGUUGGAACUGUGUGAGGAGUGACUUUUGUUCCGAACACACAUUCCAUGUAGGGCAUAUUUCACCCCAGUGCAUACACGCACCUUCUGUUACUUCCUUGGAAGUCUUAUCGCUGAGUUAGCUCCGAUUGUCAUGAGUUGUAGAUAUUCCUUCCACCUAUGUUAUUUAGCCCCUGUUUGUGCCCCAUUUUUGUGAGAAAUGAGUUUUGUAAUGGUAAUUUUUUCAGAGAAUGUGUUUAAGAAGUAGGAAAAAUUUUGGGGAUUACAGGGAAAAUUAUUUUAUUGGAUGAAUGUGUCAUUGAAAAUGAAUUUGAAGAGAAAUGAGUUUCUAGAAAAUGGGGCUCAAAAUGUGGGCUUAUCAUCUCCUCCUUUUAACCAAGUUUAGGAAAAGAAUCCUAUUGACACCUCACCACUACAAUCUCAAAUUUCAUCUCUACCCCACAUGUUUGUCACAUUUACCAAAAUGAGUUGCAAUAUGUUGAUUUUUUUCCCCUCAAUUUCUACUGCCACCUUUGAAUGGACAAUUUUUUAGGUGUUGACAUCUUACAUGAGACAUCCAAAAUGUGUGAGUAACAUGAGACAGAGGAAGUCUAAACUAAUCAGAUCAAUGACGAAUGUUGUCCAUCAGUAUUCACUUUUAUGGACUGGUAGAAGAGGCAGAAAAAUUCUUCUUGAUCAACGUUUAUGUGAACUCUCUCUUGAUAGUGCCGGGCAUUUAUAUCAAUGAACAAAUGUUUCAACUCACUAUGAAGAGUUGAAAAGAAUAAAUGUCAUUGAGUUGUGAUUUGCAUCAGUAUUCAUACAUCUUGUAAACCAAUAUUAAUUGCUUAUUGAGCUUAUGGACGUCUUCAGAAGUAUAUUUAUGAAGGUAUUUUUGGGAAUUUGAAAAAAAAUAGGAUGUACAAUACGCUUUCCAAUUGGGAUUUCAGAUGCUGGUUCUUAUCUCAACAGUUGAUAGAUUUGGAUAUGGAAGUAACAAUUUUUGUAGAACCAGUUAUAGGAAGAAAAGUCUGCUAAUGCAGAGCUAUGAAGCAUGGACAUGGAGAGGCCGGAGUGUUGGUGUUUAACACGUGUCGGAUAACGACGCGCUGGACAAAUGGUGGACACGUGUUGAAAGCACCACCUGAUGUGCGCCCCCCCCCCCUCUUCCUUCGUUCAUUCAAGCAGUCUUACCGCCGGAUACAUGGGGCCGACAUGUUUCUCAAGAGAAAAAAGGAGAAAUUACUAAGGGCAUUUCCAAUGCAUGCCCUAUUGUACCAAAAUUUGGUGCAAACUUCCUCCAACCAUUGCACCAAAUUUUGGUGAAAAUGGUGCAACAUAUGGUUCAACACUAUUCAUUACACCAUUUUUUGCACCAAAUGGUGUAAUGUCCGUUUUGCCUUUAUUUUUCAUUUUUCAAAGAUAAUGGUUAAAGGUAUUUGUGUCAUUUUCGUUCUAUAAUGAUAAUGGUAAUGGUAAUGGUAAUGAUGAUGAUGAUGAUGAUGAUGAUGAUUUUAUUAUUUUUAAUAAUAUAAUCAAUAAUAAUUAAAGUAAUUGUUAAUUUAACGUAAAGUUUAAUUCAUAAAGUUUACGUUUAAAGUUUAUAUUAUUAAAGUUUAUUAUUUUUGCAAAUUUAACGUAAUUUUUUAUCAUAAAUUAAUAAUAUAAUCAAUUAUUCUUGUCAAUUUAACAUAAUAUAUAAAACAUAUGAAUAAUUUAGUAAUCAAUAUAUUUGUUAAUUUAACGAAGUUAUGAUUUAGUAAUUUAUAUAGUUCUAAAAUAAAUAAAUAAAUAAAUAAAUAAAUAAAUAAUUUGUUUAAAUAAAUACAUUGUCAAAAAUCGAAAGAAUGAAUAAAAUAAUAAAUUACUGUUCAUUUGAUAUAAGUUUUGUUGUAAUGGUUGGAGAAGAAUUUUGGUUUGGUGUAAAAUUUGGUGCAAAAUGGUACAAAUUUUAGUGCAGCUUGAAGAUGGCCUAAGAAUGUAAGAUGAGCUAAGCUCGAUCAAUGAAUAAAAUGCGAGUAGGGGGAGAGGGAGUGACAGAUCUGGGACAUGCGAGAGUAGGCAGAAGUGGAGGAGAAGAGGCUGAUGGAUGAUUCUAGAAAAAUUGGUUCUUUUGUUUUGAUGUCUGUUUUCUUUUUAGGUUAAAGAGGUAAUAUGUGCUUUUAUUCUUUUUGAGUCAUAAGGGAAAGUGGUCAGAAAAACAGACUUUUAUUAGCCAGAUUGAGACCUGUGGGAAGAUAACUUUAUUUGCAAAAAGGGACAUGCAAUUUUAAGUUUAAUUGCAAAAAAAAACCCAUGCAAUUAUGAAAGAUUAUAAAAGAAUAAAAAAGUGUCCCUACACUAUAAAAAAUUAGAAGUUAGUAUUUCAAAAUGUUUAAAUAUUAUUUUAAUUGGUGUGUCCGACGUGUCAUUUCCUACUUUUGAAAUUUGCUAGUCAGCAUGUACAUGUCUUUGUUUCUUUACAUAUAAGGUUAAAGAGGUAAUAUGUGCUUUUAUUCUUUUUGAGUCAUAAGGGAAAGUGGUCAGAAAAACAGACUUUUAUUAGCCAGAUUGAGACCUGUGGGAAGAUAACUUUAUUUGCAAAAGGGACAUGCAAUUUUAAGUUUAAUUGCAAAAAAAAACCCAUGCAAUUAUGAAAGAUUAUAAAAGAAUAAAAAAGUGUCCCUACACUAUAAAAAAUUAGAAGUUAGUAUUUCAAAAUGUUUAAAUAUUAUUUUAAUUGGUGUGUCCGACGUGUCAUUUCCUACUUUUGAAAUUUGCUAGUCAGCAUGUACAUGUCUUUGUUUCUUUACAUAUGGAUAUUAGCUGAUCUUCGCAUAUAAAUAUCCUCACCCUACAUUAUCUGAAUUUGCACUUUGUGCAAGCCUUUAAAAUAUUUAGAACUGAAUAGAAAAGGACCGAGGAAGAAGCUAACACUUGAACUGAGUUGAUGCCUUGUAGUCCCGUUUCCACGAGCUUAGGUAAUCACAACUUUGUCAAAGUCAUGGGGUGUUUAUAUCUCUACAAAUGAAAGAGACUGCUGGAUAAAGACAGCUCGUCUGAAAACAAGUUACCUGCAAAAUUGGUCACCGAGAGCUCUUGCAGUUACUGCUGUUCAAAUAAAACUGAAACAAUAAUCAUAGCAAGCACAUGGAGAUUGGAGUUGGUUGUGCUUGCUUCUCCUAAAGACCAAAUUUCAUAUCAGUACGGGAUCUCACACUGCUAUUUGGAUAAACUCACUUAUUGUUCAUCAGGAAAAUUGCAAUCAAAUCUAGAUAUACUAAUUAAUUUAGAGAAAGGGAGGUGGAAAGGAUCAAAUUGCUUUCUAAAACCACAAUCUGAUGUGGAAUGGAUAAACGUUUAAGUUGGCAAUUAAGCCUCCAUUUGGGAAGAAAUUUUAAAUGGUUCAAUUUAUAAAUAGGUAGAAAUGAGUGGUUGAUAAGUGAAUAGUACUUGUUCCAUUUGGGAAGAAUUUUUAAAUGGUUCAGUUUAACUUUCUACAAAGGGCAGUUCCAAUUUCCAGGUCACUGUAAAAAGAUUAGGUUCAUGAAAAAUAUAUCAUCCCAAAAUAUUUAUUAGUAGGCUCCUGGAGGUUGACUUUCAUAUAAGAAGUGUGGAAUUCCUUGCAGAUUGUUAGCUGAAAUUUGCAGUUGUCGCAAGAAACUGUGCAUUUUGAAGCCCUACAUUUGUUUAUUCAUAUUAAGUUGUGCCACUCUGUUUCAUUUACUUAGGAUUUCCAUUAUGGCUCUUAAACCUGAUGAAAGUUUUUUAUGUCUUUUGUAAUUGGUGAAGAGUCAAUCUGGCCCAAUAGAACCUGCAGGUGGUAAUAGUAGUCAUCCAGUAAAUCGCUCUGACAUUGGUGGGAUAUCUGAGCUUGAGCAACUGUUAAAGCAGAAGACAUUCACCAGGUAAGGCUGUGGAAAAAUGUCACCAGUCAUGAACAGGUUGUUUGCAUGUGUACAUGCACGAUGUCUAUUUUGAGAGCUGAAUGCUCUAGACAGCUGAAGUUUUUCCAGGGUUCUCUUUAAUAUAAUAGUUGUGACCCUUUUCCCAGGUCAUGUUCAAAAUCUCAAAUCUGGAGCAACUGAGCUUAGCCUUGAGGCUUAAGCCUCUGAAUAUCGAUUUGCAAGUCUUCAAGGCAUUGGAUUUGAGGUUUUUAAACCUAGAGUGGUGUAUGCCUCAGUUAACUUUUUAAGAGCCUGUUUUGGAUUAAAAUCCGAUUAAACUCUCAAUUGAAAGUCAACAUUAAAUUUUAACUACAUAUUUCAUGGGACCCACAACUUUUGAAUCACACAUUUCAAAAACUUGUAUGAAAAAUAUAAUUUUAAUCCCAUCAAACACUCUAUAAAUCACUAGGUGAAAUAUCUUUCAAUAUGUGUAACUUUUCCUUUUAAGAUUUUGAGUUGACAUGUUUACAGGUUAUCUCCAAUUCCCUUUUUUUUUUUUUUUUUUUAAUAGGGAAUCCUCCUUUUGCUAUAUGUUACUUGUGAAAUCUUAUAAUGAAUUCCUCGCUUGGAUAUUUUGAUGUACAAGUCAGUGUGAAUGUAUAAACUAAGUAUACCAUCUUUAGGUCCUGAAGUUUGCAUUUCUGUUGAGCUUGAGUUAUCAAAGUGAAGCUAAAUUGAUGCAGAUCUGAGAUUGAACGCCUCACGGAACUUUUACAUUCACGAGCUGAAGAGGUGCCGGUUGGCGAAAGAACUCAAGAAGCAUUACCAGAGCUAGCAUCCAGUUUAGGAAGGCAUCGACAGUUCUCGAGUAGUCCAUUGGAAGAAGAUAGAAAUGAGAGGGAUAGAUAUCAUGGAGUCAAUACUACUAUAGCCAAUUCGAGAGUACGAUAGUGUACUUAUUUUACAUGCACAAUACUUGUAUCAUUUGUUAAUUUGUAUGCAAUAUUUUGUAGUAUCUGCAUUAAUAUAAGGUACCAGCAGUUUUCAUUGAUAUUUAUUUGGAAGAAAUAUUUCCAGGUCCUUGAGGAUGAUAUUGCUUCUCCAGCUGAACUUGCAAAAGCUUACAUGGGCAGUGGGCCUUCAAAGAUAUCACCAUCAAAGUUGGUGAUGCGCAGUCAAAUUGGUAGGGAAGAUGCUAGAUUGCUUGGCAAUGUUCCAUUUACUCCAAAAUCACCUGUCAUGUAUUCGACAACCAAAGUUGCUGUUAACAUUGGGGUUCCAGAGAAUAGUAUUAUAACUCCAAGAUCUCGAGGCAGAUCAGCAAUUUACAACAUGGCUCGUACUCCUUAUCCCAGAGUUAAUCCAACAGCCAUUCUCAAGGUUCUAUCAUGUUACUAAUUAUAUGUGUAGUAAAUGCAUGCAUAUUCUGCAGUUCAAAAUAUACCAUAUUAAUGGAUGCACAUGCUCUACAUGUUGGUUAAUUUUCAGGGAAAUGGAUCCACUAAUGUUUAUGGGGGAUCCUCACUUUCAACAUCUCGGUCUCUACUGGAGAAUGAUUUGUCUAAACAAGUGGUAUAUAUCAGUGGUUUGUAAUAUUUUUAACUUUUAAAGUUUAGAUAAUUACUUUUUUUAGUUAUCUUCAACCUUCUCAGAAUUUUCUUUGCAUUUCAGAGCUUAAAACGAAGGAGUUCAAUAUUUGAUGAUGAUCUUGGAGAAGGCGGUCUCAUGCGGAGAAUCCGACAAAAACCUAAUCUCUUGUCUCCUAGAAUUCCUCGUUCAGCCGGUGGAGCGGUAAUAGAUUUUGAUGGUGUUCGAGGAUCUUCGAAGCAGAAGCUUCCAUUAGUGGAUGAACCAAAGCAUAAGCUUUCAAUAACUGUUCGAAAGAAUGAGAAUGACAGCAUUCCAAGCACAAGUUAUGCUCAUGUUCCUCCUAAGUCCACUGAGGUGGCCUCAAGAAUAUUGCAGCAUCUUGAAAAGCUAAGCCCGAAGGAAAAAUCAUCGGAUCCUCAACUAGUUGCCUUGUGGGAGAAAACACCCAAUAAAUUGACACCAAAUAUGCUUCAUGGACAAGCUCUGAGGAGCCUGGAGCACGUGGAAUCCUCAAAGUUGCUGCAAGAUGUCCAUGAUGACCAUAAGUUGGAGGAUUGGCCCAUUGUUACUUUACAUGAUGCACAUGACUUCUCUUCUCAAACGAAAGGCAGAGUAGAACCAAGAGGACCAAAAGAUUUUGCUAUCCCUCUUGAUAAGUCGACUCUUGCAACGAACAAUGAUACCACAGGAUCAUUGAAAGCUUCUGUGCCCAGUGUUGAAGCAUUUGAUUCUGUUAAUAAAAAUUUUGCAGCUCAACCUCCUAAAGGAAACAAGCGUUUAGGAUGAGUGCACAAGAAGUAAGUGUUAUUUAAUUGAGUUAUGUACAGUAAAUACUCCAAUCAGUUGUAUACUGAAUAAAUUUGAUUUGCUGUUUUUAUUGGGUUUAAAUUUAGAGAUUAUAGCAAUCCAGUUUCUCUUUGUAAAACAUAGUUUAAAUUUGUGUGUUUUGAGGAUUUAUGUGUAGUUGGUUGUGAUCGAUUGUGCUUAUUUCCUUUGUCCUUUGAAAAUUGACGACUUGCCUUUGUGAAAAUCUAGAUGUCCUAUUUAUAUCAUUUUCUUUAUUUCUGUUUUAAUUUCUGUUACUGUUUUUUUACAGGAUUCCUUUGCGCUGGAUGAUGACAUAAAUUGCAAUGGGGUUGGUCCUAAACUAUUUUCUGAAGAAAGAGUGACUAUGGAAACCUCUCUUAGCAAGCCCUCACCUACUGAAGAACUAAAGCUGGAUCAAACUAUAUCUCUGUCAGAAGAGAAGUCAGUUCUGGAUCCUAUAUCAAGCAAAAGAAGUGACAUGGGAAGUGAUGGCUCUGCUUUUUCUUCUUUACAUGAUACCAGCACAGCUUCAGAAUCAGUGGUGCUCACUCAACUAGUCUCUGCAACUGACAAACAAAAGGAGGCUAAUGAUUUGCAUCCCUUGUUUAGUUUUAGCUCCAAAACUGUUAAUGAGGGUCCAUCACCUGCAUUUUCAUCCUCAACUCCUGGCUUAUCAAGCAAAAGACCAUUUACUUUGUCAGAAUCUAAACCAGAAAACUCCUCUAGGUAAGUCACUGCCUGUCAAAUAUGUAGCUGACAAUUGCUAUUGAGUUCCAACCUUUGUUUUGAAAAGGGUUUACUCCUUGAGGCAAGCCUCACACAAGGUUUUUUUGAAGCGCAUCAAAGUAUAUGCCUUAGUACAAUUUGCAGAGGGCUUAUGCCUGGGUUUACCAAGGUGCACACCUCAAGUCAUCCUUGAGGAGGCUGAUGUCUGCGCUCUAUUAUUUUGUCCUUUUUGUCGCGAGCUUCAGCCUUUUGGACUCCUUUUUCAUUUUUUAGAACAUUUUAAGGGUUUUUUUGGGGCUAUCUUAAACUCAACCAUAACAUUUAGAAAAAUGGAAUUGUAGAAGAUAGCAAGCGAAGCAAGCAUGCCUAAACUUCCUACAACUGAAGUGCUAUAACCUUUCAGCCAAGUGAAGAUGCUACUUUUCUGUGGCAGAUGGUUGGUGAUGAGACCUACGACACAUAAUUUCAUUCUUUUCGUUCUACAUUUCUCUUGUUUUUUUAUGUUUUUGUUUCAGUUUCUUCUGUUUCAAUUUUUCUUUUCCUUUAUAAGGGGAAGACUAGGGAACUGUUGGAAGUGGAGGAUGAGGAAAAAGAUUUAUGCAGCAUUAUUCAAGUCUUUUUCAUACUACUUUUGUUGGUUGAUAUGUCAGAUGAAUGCAUUAUGAGGCUUGUGCUUCUGGGUUACAGUAAUAGUUAAUUUUAGGGUCCUGUUUGUCACGGACUUGCUAAUUUCCUUCAAGAACCGUGCGGCCUUAGUGUCUUUUAACUUCCGCCCCCGCGGUUAUUACACUAAGUCAGCCUCCCGAUUGGCGUUGAUGUUUUAGAAAGGGACUAAGUAGAACACUUUAAGAAAGGGACAAGGAAGGAACACAAGAGCUUACAAAGAAUGCUUUGUAUUGAAAUAAGGAAUGCUCUUUACAACUUCACUCUCUUGUUGAUGCCUACAAAUGAAUCCUAUCAAGCUAUUUAUAGUGGUAGCCUCCUCAAAUGGAUGGCUAGGAUCUUUUCUAUCCGACGGUCUAGAUUACACUUCUAGAAUUAUCUAUACAAAUAUCUACAUCAAAAAUAUCUAUGGACUAUCCUAGGAUGAUCUAGAAUAAUCUACCAAGUGAGGGGCUUGUAGUUUUCUAGAAUGUCCCACCAUAUUCUAGCAAGCUUCAUGCACUUGUGGGAGUCUAGAAUAUUCCGGUUAGCCCCAACUCGUCAACAUUUUAAGUUUCUCGAUCUUCUUGCGCCAAGAUCGAGCGGGUUGUGACAUCCUCCCCUGCCUAUUUGGGCGACGCCCUCGUCGCCGCGUAAUGCUUUAGUUGGUCUUCGAACUGCCACAAGUCUUCUUGACUUUCCCAUGUUGCUUCGGACUCGGGCAAUCCCUUCCACUUUAUCAAAAAUUGUUGGCAAGGAGGCACUCCACGCCUUCGAACAAUGCGAUCUGCUAGGACCUCAUCAACCUCCUUGUCAAAUGACUUAGUCACAAUCGGAGGUGCCCGUUGUGACUCCCCUCGGCUAGAGUCUUCCAUGUCUUCAUGAUAUGGCUUCAACAUGCUCACAUGGAAGACGGGAUGAAUCUUUAAAGUGCUAGGUAGGUCAAGGCGAUAAGAUACCUUGCCAACCUUAGCUAUCACCGGGAACGGCCCUUCAUAUCUCCGUACCAAGCCUUUGUGCACACUUCGGUACGCCUUGAAUUGUUGAGGUAAUAUUUUCACAAGGACUUGGUCACCAACUUUAAAUUCCAAAGGCCGUCUCUUCUUAUCGGCCCACUUCUUCAUGCGCCUCCGUGCUUUGUUUAAACAAGAUCGUGCUAAGUCGGCAUGCUCUUCCCAUGACUUAGCCAUCUUGUAUGCACCGGGGCUUUUCCCUCCAUCACUAGAAGUGGACAAAGUGUGGGGUGUUAGUGGUUGUUGUCCUGUCGCCAACUCGAAUGGACUCCUCCCCGUGGCUUCACUCCUUUGUAAAUUAUAGGAAAAUUGUGCAACAUCCAGGAGCUUGGCCCAAUCUCUCUGAUUGGCACUUACAAAGUGCCGGAGAUAGCACUCCAACAAAGCAUUCACCCUUUCUGUUUGUCCAUCCGUCUGAGGGUGAAAGCUUGUAGAGAAGUGUAGGUCUGAGCCUAGGAGUUUGAACAACUCCGUCCAUAGCCGACCCGUGAAUCGGGGAUCACGAUCACUUAUUAUGCUCCGCGGUAACCCCCAAUACUUCACAACAUUCUUGAAGAAUAGCCUUGCGGCUUCCUCCGCGGUGCAAUCCUUGGUGACAGGAAUGAAGGUGCCAUACUUGGAGAAUCGAUCAACCACUACCAUUAUUGACCCGAACCCUUCGGAUUUAGGCAGGGCACUAAUGAAGUCCAUGGUGAUAGAGUCCCAUGGACGCUCCGGGACUGGUAGAGGCUCCAACAAACCUGCUGGUGACCUUGUUUCCACCUUGUCUUGUUGGCACACAAGACAAGUCUUUACAUAGAGCUCCACCAUGUCUUUCAUUUGCGGCCAAUAGUAAGCUCGUUCAAGUAGUGCCAAGGUGCGUUUCUGCCCUGGAUGACCAGCCCAGCCUUCCCGAAUCAAAUCAAGCAACGUCCCUUUGGCUUGGCUUAUGGCUGCAAGCUCCGCCUUCCUGCUUAAUGCAUCGGCUACGACAUUCGCCUUCCCCGGCUUGUAUUCCAUCACAUAGUCAAACUCCGCUAAGAAAUCUUGCCAACGCGCUUGCUUGGGAGUCAGCUUCUUUUGUGAUUGGAAAUAGCUAGUAGCGACAUUAUCCGUCUUGAUGAUGAAUUUUGAUCCCAACAAGUAAUGACGCCACACUCGUAGGCAAUGAACAAUAGCCGUCAUUUCCUUUUCUUGCACCGUAUACCGACGCUCAGUGUCGUUGAGCUUGCGACUUUCAAAAGCAAUAGGAUGCCUUUCUUGCAUUAGCACACCCCCGAUAGCAAAGUCUGAGGCAUCCGUUUGUACUUCAAAGGUCUUGGUGAAAUCUGGCAAUGCCAAGACCGGUUCCUCCAUCACGGCCGCCUUCAGAUCGUCAAAGGCCGUUUUACAUUUCUCGGACCAAUCCCAUGUCUUAUUCUUCUUCAAUAGGUCCGUUAGUGGGGCUGCCCUCGCUGAGUAGCCUUGGAUGAACCGCCGAUAAUAAUUAACUAGACCAAGGAAAGAACGAAGUUCGGUUACCUUGGUUGGUGCUUCCCACUCCUUGAUUGCUUUUACUUUUGCCUCGUCCAUCUUCAAGCGCCCGUGGCCAAUGAUAUGUCCAAGGAAGUGCACCUCCUCCUUGGCAAAGGAACAUUUUUCCUUUUUAAUGUAUAGUUCAUUCUCCCGCAAUGCUUGGAACACCGUUCGGAGAUGUUUUGCGUGAUCCUCCAAGUUGUCGCUAUAGAUGACAAUGUCAUCCAAGUACACUACCACGAACUUGUCCAAGUAAGGUUGGAAAAUCCUAUUCAUCAAUGUGCAAAAUGUGGCCGGGGCGUUGGUUAAGCCAAAAGACAUUACCAACCAUUCGAAUGAGCCAUAUCGAGUGAUGCAUGCUGUCUUAGGCUCAUCCCCUUCUGCAAUCCGUACUUGGUAGUAUCCCUUUUGUAGAUCCACCUUUGUGUAAUACUUUGCACUACCAAGUCUAUCAAAUAAAUCGGCAAUCAAAGGAAUAGGAUACUUGUUUUUAAUUGUUACCUUGUUGAGCGCCCGGUAAUCUACACACAUGCGUAACGAUCCAUCAUGCUUCUUUUGGAACAAGACCGGGGCGCUAUAAGGUGCCUUCGAAGGUCGUAUUCUCCCCGUGUCAAGCAACUCCGUCAAUUGCCUUCGAAGUUCUUCCAGCUCCGGCGGUGCCAUCCGAUAGGGUGCCAUGGAUGGUGGUUUGGCACCUGAUUCCAACUCGAUCUUAUGAUCCACCUCCCUCCUAGGUGGUAAUUUCUUGGGUAACUCUGGCGGCAUCACGUCCUUAUUUUCUUCAAGGACAUUCUUGAUGACUUCGGGCACAUUAUCGUCACCCGCAACUUCCUCAACUUGGUCCUCCAUUUUUAAUGCUGCCAAGUACGUCGCCUCUCCUUUCUUUAGCCCUUUUGCUAGUUGCAUGGCCGAAAGCUGCCCUAUUGCUUUCGUCCUAGCUACCGUAGGAACCAUGCAUGGAGAACCCCUCUCCAAGAUGCAGACCGAGCCAAAGGAAGGCAUAGGAAUAGCAUUGACCUUCCUCAUAAAGUCCAACCCGAGAACCAAGCGAAAAUCAUCCAUUGGAGCCACCGAAAAAUCCACUUGGCCAUGCCAAGUGCCUAAUUGAAUUUCCACCCCUCGAACUAUGCCACCAAGGGGCGUGGAUGGAGAAUUUACGGCUUUCAUAAGACCACCACUUUUAGUGAUUGUGAGGCCCAACCUUCUAGCCUCAUCUUCAGUAAUGAAGUUGUUGGUAGCUCCCGUAUCUACCAUUGCUAGUGCGGGCCGACUAUUUACUUGAGCUUCCACAUACAUCAAUCCUCGUUCAUUAUUGGAAGCCGGAACGACCUUAGCAUUGAGAGCGCUAAGAAGUUGCAAUGAACUAAAAUGUUCCGCCCUUUGCUCUUGGCAAGAGGAUGAAACCCGUUCCUCCGCCAUAGCUGCCAACGUGCCAAUUUUAGGGCAAUCACGCAUUAAGUGUGGCCCCUUGCACACGAAGCAUCCACUUUGAGAACCCAUUGAGGCCUUCUUCUUUUCCUCAUAAUUUUUUUCGCGAGAGGGAAGGUUUGUGAGUGUUACCACCUUUGAAGAAUGAGGACUUGUGGUAAUCUUUCUUCUCUCCCCCGCCUUUAGCCGAGUUACUCUUAAAGCUUUUAGAAGAUUUCGAUGAAUCCGUGCUCCUUUGGAACUCGGUUAAAGAUUCGGCCACCACAAUAGCCUCGUCUACUGUCUUCACUCCCCGACGUUGAAGUUCUUGCUUCGCCCAAUUUUGCAAUCCGUCGGUAAAGUGAAACAAUAGAUCUUCAUCUGACAUGCUCGGGAUUUGAAGCACAAGGGUAGUAAACUCUUUGACAUAAUCGCGAAUAGUGCCCUUAUGUUUCAACUCCCUAAGCUUUUUACGGGCCUCAUAUACUACAUUUUCAGGAUAAAAUUGGCGUUUCAAUUCUUUCUUGAAAUCGUCCCAACUAUCUAUCCUACAAGCACCCUUUUCUAUGUCGGCGUGCUUACGUCGCCACCAUAGAGCCGCGGUGUCCGUAAGAUACAUAGUCGAAGUACGUACCUUAAUAGCUUCAUCCAAAAUGUUCACGCCCUCAAAGUAUAUUUCCAAUCGCCAUAGGAAAUCAUCCAGCUCUUUUGCAUCUCGCCUUCCAUCGAACUCCCUAGGCUUUGGAUAGUCGAUCCUUGGAGCCGCUAGCAUCGCGCUAGUACCCGCACUAGUUGACGCCUUCUUACAAGCGUCUAGGCCACUUUGCAUAUCCGCGCAAAGCUUGUUCACUUGGUCUUGGAUUGCUUUGACAGCAUCCAUGACCUUAGCCUCCAGCCUCGUAUAUUCUUCCCUUAAAGCGCCUUGGUCUUCCUUGAGAUCAUCAAGUUGUUCCAAGGUGUGAGCUUCAAGGGUUGAGAGUGAAUUCUCCACUACUUCAAUGCGUUCCCCCAUAUUAAGAAAUACCUCCUCAAGAGAUCCACCGGUAGGGGCUGGUGGUCGGCUCUUACUUCGAGUGUGUCGAGUUUUCUUACUCGUGGUUUGGGGUUCGACCUCUCGACCCCGCUCGUCAUGUUCUACUUCCGAAAUGCCGGAUCCCACAACAUCUUUUUCCGCCAUGCCAACGAUAGUAAGUGAGCAAACCUAGGCUCUGAUACCAACUGUCACGGAUUUGCUAAUUUCCUUCAAGAACCGUGCGGCCUUAGUGUCUUUUAACUUCCGCCCCCGCGGUUUUACACUAAGUCAGCCUCCCGAUUGACGUUGAUGUCUUAGAAAGGCACUAAGUAGAACACUUUAAGAAAGGGACAAAGAAGGAACACAAGAGCUUACAAAGAAUGCUUUGUAUUGAAAUAAGGAAUGCUCUUUACAACUUCACUCUCUUGAUCCUUCAAAUGAAUCCUACCAAGCUAUUUAUAGUGGUAGCCUCCUCAAAUGGAUGGCUAGGAUCUUUUCUAUCCAUCUUUGCCAUCUUCCAGUAUCACUAACAAUACAUCAUUUGCAUCUUCAUCGGCCAAUUCCCAAGUGCCCAGUACAAAAAUUAAUUUUAGUUUCAGUUCUGCCGCUUCCUCAUCUGAAAGCAAUGCAGCUGGCCUUGGCAGCGGGCCAACAGCCAGUGUUUUCAAUUUCGGUGUGAGUUCUGCUGCUGCUUCAGAUGUUGGCGCCAUUAGCUCCAACAGCGGUUCCACUCUCGGACUAUAUAGUUUUGGUCUCAGUUCUUCCUCUUCCUCAGCCAAUGUAGUUGGCUCUACCAGUGGUGCCACUCCUAGUAUAUUCAGCUUUGGUAGCAGUUCUGCAGCUUCAACAUCGGGAAUCAAUGCUGCUAGCUCCUUCAGCAGUGGUACUUCUGGUAUAUUCAGUUUUGGUGCAAGUUCAUCGGCUUCCUCUUCAGCUACCAAGUCGGUUAGCUCUAGCAAUCCUACUACUAACUUAUUUGGUUCGAGUUGGCAAAUUCCCAAGUCUCCUAUUCUUGGUUCAACUUUGACUUCUCCGUCUCCAUCCACUGGAUUUGCCUUCAGUGCGUCAUUGUCUUCCUUUGCAGCUACAAGCACUGCACCAGUGGUAUUUAAUUCGUCUACUGGGGCCUCACCAGUCCCCAUUUUCUCAUUUAGUACAGCCUCUGCUGCAACCUUAUCUUCGCCAUCUCUUUCUCAUACGCAGCCAGUAUUUGGUAAUCCUCCUGCUUUUGCUGCCUCGGCUGGUAAUGAUCAGAUGAAUGCAGAAGACAGUAUGGCCGAGGAUACCAUGCAGUCAUCUGCACCUUCUGUUCCUUUAUUUGGUCAACCAACCAUCUCACCUUCUCCCCCUGGCUUCAUGUUUGGGUCUACAGUGCCAUCGCAACCUAAUCCCUUUCAAUUUGCUGGCCAGCAAAAUCAAGUUGCUCCACAGAACCAUUCUCCAUUUCAGGCAUCAGCCAGUUUAGAAUUCAAUGCGAGCGGGAGCUUCUCAUUGGGCAGUGGUGGUGGUGGUGGUGACAAGUCAGGUCGAAAAUAUGUGAAAGCUAACAGAAGUAAGAACCGGAAGAAGUGAAGGCGGUGAAUGAUGUAGCUGGUGUAUCCCUCAUUGAUGCCAUUAAUCAUGGAUUUGCCCCAUUUGGUUGAGAUAUUAUGCGAUAACUGAUCUUUCGAGUCUCAUCUUUGCAACCAUGG
rnacentral:lncRNA from 1 species